GCCAGCGUGGUGUAGUGGUUUGAGCAUUGGACUGUGGCUUUGGAGAUCAGGGUUCGAAUCCCCACUCAGUCA